rnacentral:rRNA from 1 species
AGAGUUUGAUCCUGGCUCAGAUUGAACGCUGGCGGCAUGCCUAACACAUGCAAGUCGAACGGGAGUAGCAAUACUCUAGUGGCGGACGGGUGAGGAAUACGUAGGAAUUUACCUUUAGGUGGGGGAUAGCCCAGGGAAACUUGGAGUAAUACCGCAUGAUCUCGUGAGAGCAAAGCAGGGGACCGCAAGGCCUUGCGCCUUUAGAGGAGCCUAUGUCGGAUUAGCUUGUUGGUGAGGUAACGGCUCACCAAGGCGACGAUCCGUAACUGGUCUGAGAGGACGAUCAGUCACACUGGAACUGAGACACGGUCCAGACUCCUACGGGAGGCAGCAGUGGGGAAUAUUGGACAAUGGGCGAAAGCCUGAUCCAGCAAUACCGCGUGUGUGAAGAAGGCCUUCGGGUUGUAAAGCACUUUAAGCAGGGAAGAAAAAAUUCAAGC